CAGGUUUAAUACGUGUUGCCUUUUGCCCAGC
rnacentral:piRNA from 1 species